rnacentral:lncRNA from 10 species
AACUCCACACGUGCUGCCUUAGGAGCUGUAACACUCACCGCAAAGGUCUGCAGCUUCACUCCUGAAGCCAGCGAGACCACAAACCCACCAGAAGGAAGCAACUCCGAACAUCAGAAGGAACAAAGUCCGGACACAACAUCUUUAAGAACUGUAACACUCACCACGAGGGUCCGCAGCUUCAUUCUUGAAGUCAGUGAGACCAACAACCCACCAAUUCCAGACACACUCUGAGUGCUGGCUUCAAAGAGGAGAAAGCUUUAGUGCCAUACAAAAGGGACCUGAUUGCCAAUGGCUGAGUGGAGGAUUCCCGGUGCCAGUAGGCAUUUCUGUUGUUGUUUCUGCUGGAGGAAAAUAUGGGGAAAGAGAGUGGAUGGCAAACACAGCGAAGCCUCUAGAUUUGGAAAAUACCAACACUUGCAACCUGGAGGCUUUGAUGGAUUGAACAUUUUGACUAGAUAGUUUGUCUCUCAAGAUAUCGUACUGAUAGAAAAAUAAUGUAGAACAUGAUCUAAUGGAACUAAUAUUUAAAACUAUCUGCCUAAAAGAAAACAUUAGGUAUUAUUUCUCAUCUGAGCUGAUCUUUUACAAGAAGAAGAAGGGGAAGGGGAAGAGAAGGAGGAGGAAGAGGAAGGAGGGGGAAGAGGAAGGAGAAAAAGAAGCAGGGGUGGAAAGAGCUGCAGCAGCAGGAGCAGGAGCAGGAGCAGCAGCGCCACUGCCACAACCACCACCACCAAAACAACAAAGGGGAAGCAAAAGAAGGUGGAAGAGGAGGUGAAGAGAAGCACAAGCAGAAAAAGAAGGAGAAAGAAAUCCAUCAAAUUGAAAUCCUUUUGCUUACAGGAAGUUAUUCCUGAGGGCACUCUCUUUUUUUAUUCAACCAGCAUUCAUUGAACAUCUAACAUCUUGAAGAAGACAUGGUUCUUGCUGAGAGCUACUGCAAACAAAAAAACAGGUAGCAUAGAGCUGAAAAAGUGUUUGCAAUCUGUACACACUGAGAAAUUCCCUGAGCUGCAUCCUGACAAAUGUCAUCCACUUAAAUACUUCUAAUAAACAAGAAUUGACUACCU